rnacentral:rRNA from 1 species
UAGUUUAACAAAACUAACAGCUCUUUCAAGAUUAUGUGGUAGGUGGUGCAUGGCCGUUCUUAGUUCGUGAAGUGAUUCGUUCGCCCAAUCGCAUUUCCAAACAACUAACAACUCAGAAUGCUGGGCAAUAGGACGUUUAAAGUGGCUCCUUACACCUUACAAAGGAAUGGCUGAUGAGAAACAACUCGAUCCGCUCAGCGUUCUAUUGGAAUGCAACGGACGUGAUUGCAAGCUUUUGUUUUGAGUUGCGGUUUUACUGAAAGACUCUACAAUCCGCAAACUUCAAUGAUCUGAAGUAGAAAACCUACAUGCUACAGUG